CCAGACUCCUACGGGAGGCAGCAGUAGGGAAUUUUGCGCAAUGGGCGAAAGCCUGACGCAGCAACGCCGCGUGAUCGAGACGCCCUUCGGGGUGUAAAGAUCUGUCAGUGGGGACGAAACUUGACGGUACCCACAGAGGAAGCCUCGGCUAACUACGUGCCAGCAGCCGCGGUAAUACGUAGGAGGCAAGCGUUAUCCGGAAUGACUGGGCGUAAAGGGUGCGUAGGUGGUUCAGCAAGUUAGUAGCGUAACUCCGGAGCUCAACUUCGGCACUACUACUAAAACUGUUGGACUUGAGUGCAGGAGGGGCAACUGGAAUUCCUAGUGUAGCGGUGGAAUGCGUAGAUAUUAGGAAGAACACCGGUGGCGAAGGCGAGUUGCUGGACUGUAACUGACACUGAGGCACGAAAGCGUGGGGAGCAAACAGGAUUAGAUACCCGGGUA
rnacentral:rRNA from 1 species